UGCUACGGUGUGCUCGUCGGUGGCGCCCCAGGCGCCGGGGAACCCGGUGGGAAUCCGGGACUGACGCGCAGCGGUGAGAGGGACCGAACGGGCACGUGGCCACUGGGAGAAAUCCCGGGAAGGCGUCCGCGACGGAAUGAACUCGAGUCCGAAUACCAGCCGACGACGUCAUCCACGC
rnacentral:ncRNA from 2 species